CAUAUCACACUACCUGUUGGCAAUAUUAAACUUUCCGCAAUUAUGUAUGGCUGUUUGGUCUGAGCGACACGUAAUGCAACUUGAUAAGAGGCUUUUAAAGCUAGCUCGCACACUUUGGCUGAUUGUCUCAUCAAGGUCUGCUUGCCCUCAAAAGAUUUUAAACGGGAAAUAUUAAAUGUUUUUUUCUUUCAAGUGAGCAUGGGUUGUCUUUGAGUGUCGUUGCAGCUUUGAUGGUUUCAUAGUUUCGUUUGAUAGCACGGAAGAGCAAACCACGCACACUGCUAAUUCUUCACCAUCGGUCUCUUUAUAGGUGAAGGCAAACUUCAGAUAAUUCUCGGAAUAUUUACGUGUCUUCUCCCGUUUGCGCUUUUGGCUGUUCAUGUUGGCAUCCUCUGAAGGUAGAUUAUCUGAACCACCAUCAGUGGUGUCUGACCAGGAGCUUUUGUUCCGAGAAAUUACAAAACGAUCAAUUAUUUCAAAUUGUAUGGUUAUGGCAGGUAACGUCUUUUGGCACCAGAUAGCUAAAUGUAGCUUAAAGUGCAUAUGUUGCCAUUAUGAUCAAAUGAUCGAGUAAAGACUCAUGGGUAGCCUAUGUAUUAUUUUUAAGGAAUAGAAAGCAAUUUUUACGUUCUGUUUAUGUUUAUGUAGUCUUUUGGACGUUGUACAUUUUUGGAAGAGGGAAAAAAUGCUUCAGAUGAAAUAAUUUGGCGGACCCCCUGCAGUACCUCCGCGGACCCCCUGGGGGUCGCGGACCCCCGGUUGAAGACCUCUGCUCCAGAUCAAGGCAAAAGGGACUGCAAUAUGCAGUGGAAGGAUAUAUCCAAAAUAUUAAGAUCAACAACAAAGUGGACACAACAAUAAUCGAAGCAAAAGCAUACAGGUCUCAAUAAAAAAAAUUAGAAACCCCACGACCUCAUCAUUAAAUGCCACCAGCACAACCUUGUAGACUAGUCAUGUUAUUUCUCCACUGGGUAAGAUCUGUAUAUAAUAUUUCAAGCUAGCUAAUAACCUACAAAGAUUCUUUAUUCUUAUUAUUUAUUCCGUAUCUGGCGAGAGACUCUGGAGGUAUCUAUCUAUCUAGCUAGCUAGGAUGGUGACAAUCUAGAGAACAGUACAGUAACGUACCAGUGUGGAUCAAGAUAGCUGCUAGUAACGUUAUUGUUCAAGGGAUGUGUGUACAUGUUGCUGAAAGUAUUUCACAGUCACUGUAGUGAUGACUUGCUUGUAAAAUGAUGACCCUGAUGUAAUGCUAUGGCUUUGUAUCAGAUCGCCAGGUUAUUGCUCUCAGGUUGUGACUUAUGCAUAACUUGGGAUACUCAGGAGUAGGCCCAUUCACAAAAUGCUACAAAGAUUAAAAUAAAAAAAACUUCAUAAUGGCCUUUUUAUUCAACAUUGAUACAGUAUUUUAAGCUCGAGCUAGUCUCUCCAACUAAAGUGUUAAUGUUAAAAUCAAAAUGUUAAUGUUACAUCUGUAAAAUUGCACGCUGAGCUAUCCUAGCUAGCGAUGUUAUUGUUACGUCUGUAAAAUUGCACGCUGAGCUAUCCUAGCUAGCGAUAGCAAACGCCAGCAGCAUAAAUACAAAGUGUUCGUUAAAAGUUCUGUUCAAUGUUGUAUCAAGCGUAAAUACAAAGUGUUCGUUAAAAGUUAUGUUCAAUGCUGGCGUUUGCUAUCGCUAGCUAAGAUAGCUCAGCGUGCAAUUUUACAGACGGUAACAUUAACAUUUUGACGGUAACAUUAACAUUUUGAUUUUAACAUUAACACUUUAGUUGGAGAGACUAGUUAUGUACUUGUAGUGGUAAUAUUACAAGUUGUAUCAUACCUAGCGAUAGCGUAGUUCGCUAGAUAGAUAGCUAGCUGCAAGCAGCUUCAUUUACUUUGGAGCAGACAUAUGUGUGUUUUUCGAUAUAUUGAGUUGGGAGUGGGGUCUCCCACACUGUUUAAUCCACCGCUGGCACCUUUCCUCCUGUGUUUUGGGCUUUGGAAAUGCGGGGGGAAAACGAUGCAUCCCUCUAAUCUCUGUAUCAGAGCUACAAGUCCCAUAGGCACACUUUUUCACCAUGCUGCUCAGACCUCAGAGUUGUCGGACCUUCUUCUCUUAGUAGCGGUUGCUAAGGUAUGAUUGGACGAGGGCCGUUCUAGGGAGGAGUUUCGCGAUCGGUCAAUUAACAUUUAAACACAAAGUUAUUGAUAACAUUUUUUUUUAUUUCUGCACUGUUUCUCCGCAACAAAAAAAUAGUUCCAUUGUCAACGUCUUUUGGAAUUAUAAUAAUUUUGAAUUAACGGUUAUCGCUUAAUUGUAUCAACGUGCUAUAGAAUGUUUCAUCGCGGAGUGAUUUAUUAUUAGCUGUGAAAAGUCCGAGUUGGGAUGUCCUGGGCUAUUCCAACUCAUGGAACGUCUCUCGUCCAAUCAGAAACAGCUAAAUAAUUCGAUGGAACCCAAUUGUUUUAUAAUAAUAUUUAGAUAGACAGUUAGUAGUCCGUAUGAAUGGAGUAGGGGCAUCAAUAUUUAAGAUAAUUAAGACCUUUGUCAGGUUUUUAAUGGCACACACGACACACUGGAACACACACGUGCAUAUAUAGAGGUGACACAGGACACACACGCAGGUAGGCCUGAGGUCGCGGUGAAUUUAUUUUCUGCUUUUUUCCCAUCCUGGACCGUCCUUCCUCAAGGACCGCCCAGGAGCAGUGGGCAGCUUGUAGCGCCCGGGGACCAAUUGAAGUGAACUGUCCAU
ensembl:lncRNA